rnacentral:misc_RNA from 1 species
GCUGUCCUCAAGAGUUGCACUUGGCGCCCACAACAUCCUCAGGUUUGGAAGAGUCGCAAUUUCUGCAGGAAUUUUCCCCUGAAAAAAAUUAAAAUCUUCAUUUGCAGAACUCGAUUGAUCCAACAAAUAGUCCCCUCUUGAACUGUUAACAUUCUGAUAAGGAUCAAAAAAAUUUGAAAGCACAAGCACAGACAAUCCAGNNNNNNCCCAAGCUCACGAGGUACUGACCCACUAAGACUAUUUCUUGACACAUCCAACACCUCAAGCUUUCCGAGCAUACCCAGUUCAGACGGAAUCACUUCUUCAAACAAAUUUGAAUACAAUAACAAUGUCCUCAAAUUACCACAAUUCCCUAGACUACCAGGAAUCCCUCCAAC